rnacentral:rRNA from 1 species
AUUGAACGCUGGCGGCAGGCUUAACACAUGCAAGUCGAGCGGAGCGAGGGUGCUUGCACCUUAGCUUAGCGGCGGACGGGUGAGUAAUGCUUAGGAAUCUGCCUAUCAGUGGGGGACAACAUUCCGAAAGGAAUGCUAAUACCGCAUACGCCCUACGGGGGAAAGCAGGGGAUCUUCGGACCUUGCGCUAAUAGAUGAGCCUAAGUCGGAUUAGCUAGUUGGUGGGGUAAAGGCCUACCAAGGCGACGAUCUGUAGCGGGUCUGAGAGGAUGAUCCGCCACACUGGGACUGGGACACGGCCCAGACUCCUACGGGAGGCAGCAGUGGGGAAUAUUGGACAAUGGGCGGAAGCCUGAUCCAGCCAUGCCGCGUGUGUGAAGAAGGCCUUUUGGUUGUAAAGCACUUUAAGCGAGGAGGAGGCUCUUAAGGUUAAUACCCUUGAUGAGUGGACGUUACUCGCAGAAUAAGCACCGGCUAACUCUGUGCCAGCAGCCGCAGUAAGAC